rnacentral:lncRNA from 1 species
AUGAAGCCUGAAGAAACUGUUUAUGGUGCUGAUAUGGAGUUGACUGCCAGUGAUGCAGGUGAACUACUCACAGUUACAGCAAAAGACAAAGAUAAAUUACACCAAAAUAGAAAUAGUAAUGCUAAUUCUGAUAAAAUAUUACCAAAUUUCAGAAAAGUAAAAUACUCUAAGAAGGAUAAAAAGAAAAUUAAAAGCAAGACUGAAGCAAGUUCAAAUAUAUAUGCAGAAGAAAGACUCACUAGGCCUGACAGUAGUGAAGCUUCAAAAAGUACUGACUCACAAACUCAAUUAUUCCAAAAUCAGACAGAACAACCACCUACAGGAGAUUCUGUAGGGAAACAGGGUUUGCAAAAUACCGGCAAAGAUUAUCAAGCCCAAAAUUGUCCAAGUAAAGCUAAAGAUACUAGGAGGACAUACCAGGUUAACUUAAUGAGUCCAAGAACCCAGGAGACAAAUAAAGACACUUUCUCAGAAAUGUUUGAAGAAAUGGAAAGCAAAAUACAAAAAUCAGACUCAAACUCCUCUAUUAACAAGAUACCACCAGAAGUUUAUUGUGCUGAAAAUUUAACAUUCCAAGAUAACACUUCUAAUGUAUUACCUUUGCAGCAGGACUUUCUGCAUACAAAUGAGAAACAUAGCAGUCCAGAAGUAAACAGGAAAACUUUUCAAAAUCCUGCUAAAGCAAACACAGCAAAAUACUGUAGAGAGGAAAAUGGACAGUAUGGAGAAUAUAUUUCAAAAAAGUCUCAAGCAGAGAUACACCACCAUGACAGCAAGAGAAAACAAGAGCAGAAGAAUACUGUAAAGAGAAAAUACAACAACAAAAGUAGUUGCAGACAAAGUGGAGAAACUGAUAGUGACAGCACUCAGAAAAUUACUCAGAAAAUAAACCAAAAGACUAGCCAUUUUUCUCCCGGCGGAUUAAAACGUACAUUGGCAAGGGCUAGCCGGAAAGUACAUAUAAUACCAAAAGAAAACCUUACACAGUUCUCACUUUGCAAAAAUGAAGAAUUAAAAAAUAAGGAUGCAUUGCAUGCGGGGUCUGUAUGUGGAAAUAAAGUAACCAAAACUCAACAAAUGCAGGCAGCUUUAGUUACUCAGAAUGGUGUAGCCACCAAUGCUUCACAAGCUAAAGAACAAGUUGAUGAUGAUUCUAAUACUUUAAAGAAAGUAGAAUCCUCAUUAGUGGCUCAUAAACCCCCUCACAUUAGUACUGCUGCUGAUAAUCCAGUAAAGCAUAAGCAGAAGUUUGGUUCUGAUAUUAUUGAGACCAGAUCAGAAAAAAAAUAUUUCAGGCAUAUCGAUCAGGGGGAGCAGAAUAUUUUGGAUGACCAGGAAGACCCUCAUGAGAGAGAUUCCUUUAUGAGCAAGUUAAAGCCUACAGUUCAAAAAUCAGAAUUUUUAAAAUCCUUAUCUGUUGAAUGUUCUAAGAACGUGCCAUUAAAUGUAGAUGACUUUUCCCAGGAAGGUCUUUCCAAUGUGGAGCCCCCAGCUAUUGAUAACCACAACGCUUCCAUGAACUUCUCUAUACUGAUAAACCCUGAAAUAUGUGGGGGAAAUGAUCAUAAUAAAGCACCAGAUGGUGGAAAAGCAGAACAAAAACUGGAUCAUAUUUCUGAAGAGACUUACAUAAAGACUCUGACAUCUUGUCAUGGGAGAAAGGCUUUACAAGAUCUGACAAAUAGUAGAAUACAAUCUCGUACAUCCUUACCAAAAUGCCCCCAAACUUUAGAAGAAAACUCGGCAGCACCAUCUAGACGACAAAGAGCCACUAUUUGCUAUAAAGAACCCAGUCUAUCCAGCAAAUUAAGGCGUGGGGAUCAGUUUACAGAUACACAAUUUUUGCAUUCCCCGAUCUAUAAAGUAAAAAAUAAAGUAAGUUUUAAAAGUAAAUCAAAAUUCAUUUGAAGAAGAGAAGAGAAUUGCCUCUAUGAAGAACACUUCUAAAAUGGGUACAAUUUUUAAAAUAUAUAUAUGUGUGUGUGUGUUUAUCAGUAGAGAGUGCUUAUUGUUCUUUGAUUAGUAAUGGUCUUCCAAAGUGGAAUUUCCUGGAAAGGAGCCUCUAUGUAAGGGACACAAUACUCUACUGAGGAAGGCAAAUACAGGUUAGGCUCCACUCUUGUGUUUUGCAUUUCUGGUCAGUAAUUUAUAAUCUGUUCAAAGGGUUUGCAGCACUUCUUAAUUUGUAAGAAAGGUGUAUGUUUUAAUGAGAAUUAAAAAUAAAUCACCUUUGGGAAUUUUAUUGUGAGUUUUU